UAUAUCAGUAAGAGCCCUGAGAGAUGAUCAGGUAGAUAGGUUAGGAGUGUAAUUGUGGUGACACAUUUAGCGGACUAAUACUAAUAGCUCGAGGACUUAUCCAAAA
rnacentral:rRNA from 1 species